UUUGGGAUAGGCCUGGGAAACUGGGUCUAAUACCGGAUAGGAGCGCCUACCGCAUGGUGGGUGUUGGAAAGAUUUAUCGGUUUUGGAUGGACUCGCGGCCUAUCAGCUUGUUGGUGAGGUAAUGGCUCACCAAGGCGACGACGGGUAGCCGGCCUGAGAGGGUGACCGGCCACACUGGGACUGAGACACGGCCCAGACUCCUACGGGAGGCAGCAGUGGGGAAUAUUGCACAAUGGGCGCAAGCCUGAUGCAGCGACGCCGCGUGAGGGAUGACGGCCUUCGGGUUGUAAACCUCUUUCAGUAGGGAAGAAGCGAAAGUGACGGUACCUGCAGAAGAAGCACCGGCUAACUACGUGCCAGCAGCCGCGGUAAUACGUAGGGUGCGAGCGUUAUCCGGAAUUAUUGGGCGUAAAGAGCUCGUAGGCGGUUUGUCGCGUCUGUCGUGAAAGUCCGGGGCUUAACCCCGGAUCUGCGGUGGGUACGGGCAGACUAGAGUGCAGUAGGGGAGACUGGAAUUCCUGGUGUAGCGGUGGAAUGCGCAGAUAUCAGGAGGAACACCGAUGGCGAAGGCAGGUCUCUGGGCUGUAACUGACGCUGAGGAGCGAAAGCAUGGGGAGCGAACAGGAUUAGAUACCCUGGUAGUCCAUGCCGUAAACGUUGGGCACUAGGUGUGGGGACCAUUCCACGGUUUCCGCGCCGCAGCUAACGCAUUAAGUGCCCCGCCUGGGGAGUACGGCCGCAAGGCUAAANCUCAAAGGAAUUGACGGGGGCCCGCACAAGCGGCGGAGCAUGCGGAUUAAUUCGAUGCANCGCGAAGAACCUUACCAAGGCUUGACAUGUUCUCGAUCGCCGUAGAGAUACGGUUUCCCCUUUGGGGCNGGUUCACAGGUGGUGCAUGGUUGUCGUCAGCUCGUGUCGUGAGAUGUUGGGUUAAGUCCCGCAACGAGCGCAACCCUCGUUCCAUGUUGCCAGCACGUAAUGGUGGGGACUCAUGGGAGACUGCCGGGGUCAACUCGGAGGAAGGUGAGGACGACGUCAAAUCAUCAUGCCCCUUAUGUCUUGGGCUUCACGCAUGCUACAAUGGCCGGUACAAUGGGUUGCGAUACUGUGAGGUGGAGCUAAUCCCAAAAAGCCGGUCUCAGUUUGGAUUGGGGUCUGCAACUCGACCCCAUGAA
rnacentral:rRNA from 1 species